rnacentral:rRNA from 1 species
GAGAAGGGGUUCAUCGAGCCAGGCAAGGUGUGCGGUGGUAGGCUCGGUCUCCAGCCUCAGCGUCUUCUGUUGGCCCCUUUGCCAUGUGGCGCCGACGAUGUUGUUCGGAGUCGGCUACAAAACUGGCAUGCUGCUGAUCGUGAACUAGCCAUUGGUGUACCUCAAUAAGGUCACCGACGGCUGCAUGGGUGAGUCACCGCAAAGCUUGAGUCCAUGGAGCCCUGCUCCAGCCUCAAGGAGAGGUUAGGCAGCUGCUCCUUUUUUUCUGGAUCCCCGUGAUUUGUUUUUUGUUGUUGUUGUUUUUCAAUCUUGGCUCAAGAUUUGUUAUGUGUGUUUCCCUUGUGCCGGAGAAAUGGUUCAUCGAGCCAGGCAAGGUGCGCGGUGGUAGGCUCGGUCUCCAGCCUCAGCGUCUUCUGUCGGCCCCAUUGCCAUGUGGCGCCUACGGUGCUGUUCGGAGUCGGCUACAAAACUGGCUUGGAAGCACGACAGGUCGCGUAAAGAGGAGGAAAACAAAGCUGAGCGCUCAACUUGUUUAGUGGACUAGCCUUUCUUCUUCCUUGAAAGAAACGUUGAAAGGUAAGACAUGACAGGGGCAAGCAUAGAUAGGCACUGGAGAUUUUUUUUUCUUUCUCUAGUCCAUUUACUGAAUGGGGUGAUGCUUUAUUUCUUCCGAAGGAGAAGAUGUGCUGAAACUAGAUGUAGAGAUGCAUGACCCUUUCUUUGAUUUCCUCUACGUGCUUGAUUCUGAAGUAGGAUGAUCAAAUUUAGAUGGUAUUUACUUUUUUUGUAGGGCAAGUAUAAUGUUUGCCAAGUCAAUCAAUAUAUAUUGACAUGCUCCCUGGGAUGAGAUGGCAAACCAUUUAGAUCAAGCCAUUUCAGUUUGCUGCAUUCAAAUUCCAAACCAAUUAAUGUCCACUUUUAGUUUAAGCCAUGAGAUGAUGGAAAACCAACUCAGUUUGCUACACUUGGUUGUAGAAAUGUCACUCACCGUUCCAGAUUAUUACUUGAGGUUAUAUAUGCUAUACGUAUAAACUAUGCUAGUGUUUGAUCUGGCCCUUGCGAAACAAGGAAAUUUGUUCCUUUCUUUUGUUGUCGCACACUUGUAGCUAAAGAUUGACUAGGACAUUGCUAUUUUUUAUUGCCGCUUGAUCUGAACCCUUCAGUCUUGUUGAUAGCUAGCAUGCCCUGCGACUAACGAUUACGCAAAGAACUCUUAUCUACUCUUGGUAAUUUACCAAGAAAACUCUGCAGUUUGAACGGAUCGAGUUGAUUGUGACUAUCACGAUCCUUUUGAUGGGUUUUGUUGUUGAAACAACGCAAACUAGGAGGGGGAUUAGAUAACUGAUUGAGAGCUAUUUGUUUUGUUGUGUGCAUGCUAUGGGACACAUACAUUACACUUUUUUAGCUUAGUCUCGGCCUACUAGACAUUGCUUGUAGUUUCUUGCUUUGAGCUUGUUUGGCAUGCAAAUUAACUCAUAUGUGGUGGAGUUCUUUUCUUUGUUUUUGCUGAGACGAAGAGCUUCUAGCUUUGAGAGGCAAAAGAAGAUGGUCCUCCGAAUUCGUUUAAGCUUGGCUUUGGUGGCGCCGGAAGAGAAAGGUUUGUUUUCGGACUCGAGGCCAACCAAGCAACUAGGCUGUCGACCGAAUUCGUUUAAGCUUGGCUUUGGUGGCAUUGGAAGAGAAAGGUUUGUUUUUGGACAUGGGACCUGGCGCUGCUUAUGACAACGGUCAUUUCUUUGUGUAUGUAAUAUACUAGUUGUUGUAAUAGACUAGCUUUUGUACCUGCCACUUGUAGUGUUCUCCUUCCAUGUGAAAUACAAAAUGGCAAUUCUAUGCCCCUGUUCAUGCAUUCCUUUCUGCCUGUUAUGCUGCCAAAAUUUCUAGCCGAGACCUGCCCGACUUGUCAAAAUUUUGUCCUUGUUUGUAACGAAACAAAAAAUGUGAAGGGGGC